AGUUCCUGGAAGGACUGAAACC
rnacentral:miRNA from 1 species